UACAGAGGGGGCAAGCGUUGUUCGGAAUUACGUGGGCGUAAAAGGGCGCGUAGGCGGCCCGCUAAGUCGAACGUGAAAUCCCCGAGCUCAACUCGGGAACUGCGUCCGAUACUGGUGGGCUUGAAUCCGGGAAGAGGGAUGCGGAAUUCCAGGGUGUAGCGGUGAAAUGCGUAGAGAUGUGGAGGAACACCAGUGGCGAAGGCGAACUCGUCUGGUCUGUAAC
rnacentral:rRNA from 1 species